rnacentral:rRNA from 1 species
GAUUCAUCGGUAUGGGAUGGGGUCGCGUCCUAUCAGCUUGAUGGCGGGGUAACGGCCCACCAUGGCUUCGACGGGUAGCCGGCCUGAGAGGGCGACCGGCCACAUUGGGACUGAGAUACGGCCCAGACUCCUACGGGAGGCAGCAGUGGGGAAUAUUGCACAAUGGGCGCAAGCCUGAUGCAGCGACGCCGCGUGCG